rnacentral:rRNA from 1 species
GUUUGAUCCUGGCUCAGGAUGAACGCUGGCGGCGUGCUUAACACAUGCAAGUCGAACGGUCCAUUUUCGGAUGGAUAGUGGCGGACGGGUGCGUAACACGUAGGUGACCUGCCCUGGAGUGGGGAAUAAUUCCGCGAAAGCGGGACUAAUACCGCAUAGGGUCGUGGAUUCGGUUUCACGAGGAAAGCAGCGAUGCGCUCCGGGAUGGGCCUGCGGCCGAUUAGCUAGUUGGUGGGGUAACGGCCUACCAAGGCGAUGAUCGGUAGGGGGCGUGAGAGCGUGGCCCCCCACAUUGGCACUGAGACACGGGCCAAACUCCUACGGGAGGCAGCAGUGAGGAAUAUUGCGCAAUGGGCGAAAGCCUGACGCAGCAACGCCGCGUGAGGGACGAAGGCCUUCGGGUCGUAAACCUCUUUUUUGAGGGACGAGGAAGGACGGUACCUCAGGAAUAAGUCUCGGCUAACUACGUGCCAGCAGCCGCGGUAAAACGUAGGAGGCGAGCGUUAUCCGGAUUUACUGGGCGUAAAGCGCACGCAGGCGGGUCAGCAAGUCGGAUGUGAAAGCUCCUGGCUUAACUGGGAGAGGCCAUUCGAAACUGCUGGGCUUGAGGUUGGGAGAGGGGUGUGGAAUUCCCGGUGUAGUGGUGGAAUGCGUAGAUAUCGGGAGGAACACCAGUGGCGAAGGCGGCACCCUGGCCCACACCUGACGCUGAGGUGCGAAAGCGUGGGGAGUAAACAGGAUUAGAUACCCUGGUAAUCCACGCUGUAAACGAUGUCAACUAGGUGUCGGUGGUGUUACACUAUCGGUGCCGAAGCUAACGCGUUAAGUUGACCGCCUGGGGACUACGGCCGCAAGGCUAAAACUCAAAUGAAUUGACGG